UACGGAGGAUGCGAGCGUUAUCCGGAUUUAUUGGGUUUAAAGGGUGCGUAGGCGGAUUUUUAAGUCAGCGGUAAAAUGUCCGGGCUCAACCCGGGCCGGCCGUUGAAACUGGGGAUCUUGAGUGGGCGAGAAGUAUGCGGAAUGCGUGGUGUAGCGGUGAAAUGCAUAGAUAUCACGCAGAACUCCGAUUGCGAAGGCAGCAUACCGGCGCCCGACUGACGCUGAGGCACGAAAGCGUGGGGAGCAAACAGG
rnacentral:rRNA from 1 species